rnacentral:tRNA from 2 species
GGGGCAUUGGCGCAGUUGGCUAGCGCGCCUGCAUGGCAUGCAGGAGGUCAGGAGUUCGAAUCUCCUAUGCUCCACCA